UUCCAGACUCCUACGGGAGGCAGCAGUGGGGAAUAUUGCACAAUGGGGGAAACCCUGAUGCAGCGACGCCGCGUGAGCGAAGAAGUACCUCGGUAUGUAAAGCCCUAUCGGCAGGGAAGAAGGAGGACGGUACCUGACUAAGAAGCCCCGGCUAACUACGUGCCAGCAGCCGCGGUAAUACGUAGGGGGCAAGCGUUAUCCGGAUUUACUGGGUGUAAAGGGGGCGCAGACGGCAGCGCAAGCCAGGAGUGAAAGCCCGGGGCCCAACCCCGGGACUGCUCUUGGAACUGCGCGGCUGGAGUGCAGGAGGGGCAGGCGGAAUUCCUGGUGUAGCGGUGAAAUGCGUAGAUAUCAGGAGGAACACCGGUGGCGAAGGCGGCCUGCUGGACUGCGACUGACGUUGAGGCCCGAAAGCGUGGGGAGCAAACAGGAUUAGAUACCCGGGUAA
rnacentral:rRNA from 1 species